GAAUAUUGGACAAUGGGCGAAAGCCUGAUCCAGCCAUGCCGCGUGUGUGAAGAAGGUCUUCGGAUUGUAAAGCACUUUAAGUUGGGAGGAAGGGCAGUAAGCGAAUACCUUGCUGUUUUGACGUUACCGACAGAAUAAGCACCGGCUAACUCUGUGCCAGCAGCCGCGGUAAUACCGAGGGUGCAAGCGUUAAUCGGAAUUGCUGGGCGUAAAGCGCGCGGAGGUGGUUCGUUAGGUUGGAUGUGAAAACCCCGGGCUCAACCUGGGAAAUGCAACCAAAACGGGCGAGCUAGAGGAGGGCAGAGGGUGGGAGAAUUUCCUGUGUAGCGGUGAAAUGCGUAGAUAUAGGGAGGAACACCAGUGGCGAAGGCGACCACCUGGGCUCAUACUGACACUGAGGUGCGAAAGCGUGGGGAGCAAACAG
rnacentral:rRNA from 1 species